rnacentral:lncRNA from 1 species
AUGUUGGAAGUGAAAGAAGAAAAGGCAAAGUGGAAGUUAAGAUUUAAUUUGCUUUUGCAUUUCAUGUUUCCAGAUGAUGAAUUUCAUGGGGGAACUAACAGACCAAGAAGGAGACAAAGAGGAGAAAAGUGCAGGAUGAGAACUGUGCUCCUAACAUAUAGAAAGAUUGUACAGCGUCGUGUCCAUGAACUUCCAGGGUUCGCAUUAAAAUCUGACAGAACAUCAGAGUGCCAGAAGCUUCUCAUAUUGUGGCUCUGGAGAGCCUUGCUGUCUGGCACUCCAGGAGAACACUUGAGGAAUUCGUGCUCCAGGAGUAGGUUUGCAAGCAUUCUUAAUAUUUCUGUUUUAAAGUUAGGCAAACUGUUAAUAUUGGAAUAUGAUUAUGUUACUAAAAAGGUAACUCAACUACUUCAUUAAAACAAGGCAGCUUUAAUUCCCAUUUACUUCAGACUUUCUACCUUUUGCUUUCUCUUCAGUGUUUGCAGCUGUUGUCCUGUCAAAUAAGGAUAACAGCCGCCUUCAGGGAUGGUCUUUUACCAGCUGUUAAAGUCCUACCAUUCACCACUGCCAUAGUGAGUCCACAUUUAUUGGCCUGGUGGCACACAGAGAGCCUCUGACGUGACAAUCCUGCCUUGUAACAAACUCUGAACCUGGAAGUCCUCAGCAGCUAGUCUGUUCAUGUUAAUUUCCAUGUUAAACAAAGUGUCCAAAGUGCCAGAAGAGUGAUGUCAAGCAUAUUACAUUGCUGUAGCCAACUGACAAUAUUUCUCCUUACUUUAGCUCCUUAAUAUCGUCUUUAGCUGAGUAGGGAAGAACACAAAUUGCAUGACCCUAGGGAACCUUGUUUCAACAUUUAUUAUUGGAAAAACGUAUGGCUUUCAAAAGAUAAAAUGUAUUUCAAACGCCACCUCUCAUCCUAUGCUGAGCUAAAAGCCAGCAGUGUUGUAGGUUUCAUACACUCUCUGUCAACAGAUGUGAUGUUCACAUAAGAACAGAAUCUGACCAGCUAAAUUUAUCAUAAUAGAAUGACGAAUAAUCCAUAGGCAAAGGAUUUCCUAAACAUUUAAUGCUACAGCACAUCUGAUUUCUGUUUUCAGAUUUAAUCCUAGAUAGUCUGGUUAUAGGGAUAUACAGUAACAAACUGGCAAAGAAAUAUGUUCAUUUUUUGAUGACCUAAAAUAUAUAGUGAUGGCUACUUAGUAAUGCUGGGAGGGAUUUAUUUGAAUCUAAAUUUACCUUUAUAUUUUUAUCCUUUUUUUUUCUUUUUUUUUUCUCAAAUAUCUGAGCAAUAUUUUUAUUCUAGAAUAUAUUAAGGAAAACAUUCAAUUUUUUUCAACUACUUAACAGUAAUAAUUGAGGUUUUAAAAUUCUAAAUAACAAGAAAAAUCAGUGUUCUGCAAAAUUCUAGGAGAGGUUU